rnacentral:tRNA from 1 species
GGGCUGUAGCUUAGUGGUAGAGCACUUGCCUAGCAUGCAUGAGGCACUGGGUUUGAUCCUCAGUACUACA